rnacentral:rRNA from 1 species
GGCCAGCAGCCGCGGUAAUACGUAGGGGGCUAGCGUUGUCCGGAAUUACUGGGUGUAAAGGGCGUGUAGACGGGUUAUUAAGUCAGAUGUGAAAUACCGAGGCUCAACUUCGGGGCUGCAUCUGAAACUAAUGAUCUUGAGUGCAGGAGAGGAAAGCGGAAUUCCAAGUGUAGCGGUGAAAUGCGUAGAUAUUUGGAGGAACACCAGUGGCGAAGGCGGCUUUCUGGACUGUAACUGACGUUGAGGCGCGAAAGCGUGGGGAGCAAACAGGAUUAGAUACCCUGGUAGUCCACGCCGUAAACGAUGGAUACUAGGUGUAGGAGGUAUCGACCCCUUCUGUGCCGGAGUUAACACAAUAAGUAUCCCACCUGGGGAGUACGGCCGCAAGGUUGAAACUUAAAGGAAUUGGCGGGGGAC